rnacentral:rRNA from 1 species
GACAGAGGGUGCAAACGUUGUUCGGAAUUACUGGGCGUAAAGCGUGUGUAGGCGGUCUCAUAAGUCGGGUGUGAAAGCCCAGGGCUCAACCCUGGAAGUGCACUCGAAACUGCGAGGCUUGAGUGCCGGAGAGGGUGGCGGAAUUCCCCAAGUAGAGGUGAAAUUCGUAGAUAUGGGGAGGAACACCGGUGGCGAAGGCGGCCACCUGGACCGGUAUUGACGCUGAGGCGCGAAAGCCAGGGGAGCAAACGGG